AAGCCGUAACAAGGUCUCCGUAGGUGAACCUGCGGAGGGAUCAGUACCGAGUGCGGGCCUCCGUGCCCAACCUCCAACCCUUUGUCGAUGACUAUCUGUUGCCUCGGGGGGGACGACCCGGACCUCGUGCCGGGAGUCCCCCAGAGGUCCAUCAAAUCACUGCGUCUUUGCGUCGGAGUAUUGAAAUCAAUCAAUUAAAAC
rnacentral:misc_RNA from 1 species